GCCAAAAUAACUAAACAACUAUAUAUACAAAACAUCAAACCAAUUUAACCAAAACAUUUGCCCCGGCCAGUAAAUGCGAUUAAACACCACAACCGUCUUAUUAGUACCGUAAGGGAACAAUGAAAGAAAAAUGAAAAAUUUUAAGCACUACACAGCAAAGAUUUAACCCUGUACCUCCUGCAUCAUGGUCUAGCAAAACCACCUCAGACAAAGAGAACCUUUAGCCUGCCCACCCGAAACCAAACGAGCUAUUUUUGGGCAGCAUCAUACUAGAGCGCACCCGUCCCUGUAGCAAAAGGGUGGGAAGACCUAAAAAUAGAGGCGAAAAGCCAAUCGAGCUUGGUGAUAGCUGGCUACUCAACAAAGAACUUUAGUUCAACUUUAGGCAUAAAUAGGCCCACAUUCACAAGCCCCCCCCCACACCUAAAGAAAAUCAAUGGGGGUACAGCCCCAUUGAACCGGGGUACAACCCGAACUGAGAGAAAAAUUUUUCCCCUCCCUCCAGUGGGCUUCAAAGCAGCCACCAAAUAACCGCGUUAUAGCACUUUAAUUUAACAAUCCCAACAACUUAUUUAUUCUCCAAACUGUCACCACGAGUUAUACUAUAAUUAUAUAGCAACACUAAUGCUAAAAUUAGUAAUAAGAAAUAGUUACUUCUCUCCGCACCCCUAUAAAUCAGAAUAGAAAAACUACUGAUAAUUAACAAACAAACACGACCUCUUAUUUUCCUAGCCCAAGGUCUUCCAACUUGUUACCCCGACACAGGCGUGCAAUAAAGAAAGGUUAAAAGCCACAAAAGGAACUCGGCAAUAACUUAGUCUCAACUGUUUACCAAAAACAUAGCCUUUAGCCCAACAAGUAUUAAAGGUACCGCCUGCCCAGUGACUAUUUAAACGGCCGCGGUAUCCUAACCGUGCAAAGGUAGCAUAAUCACUUGUCCUCUAAAUCAGGACUGGAAUGAACGGCUAAAUGAGGACUAAACUGUCUCUUGUGGUCCACCAAUGAAAUUGAUCUCCCAGUACAAAAGCUGGGAUAAACCCAUAAGACGAGAAGACCCUGUGGAGCUUUUAAAACUAAGCCCAUACAACAUGUCCUCUUGAGUUUUUAGUUGGGGCGACUUUGGAGUACAAAAAAACCUCCAUAAAUGAUUAACUUAUCCUAUUAAGAUCAACACACCAAAACAACCAUAUAAGACCCAGCAACUUACCUCUGUUGUCUGACUAAUGAACCAAGUUACCCCAGGGAUAACAGCGCUAUUCCCUUCUAGAGUCCCUAUCGACAAGGGAGUUUACGACCUCGAUGUUGGAUCAGGACACCCCAAUGGUGCAGCCGCCAUAAAAGGUUCGUUUGUUCAACGAUUAAAGUCCUACGUGAUCUGAGUUCAGACCGGAGAAAUCCAGGUCGGUUUCUAUCUAUGCGGCACUAUCCUCAGUACGAAAGGACCAAGAUAGCAGGACCAAUAUUCUAGAAACGUCCAAAUUUAAUUUACUGAUUACUACUAAAGUAAUAAAUAUGCCACCACACCAAACCUAAAACAGGUUU
rnacentral:rRNA from 1 species